GAUGAACGCUGGCGGCGUGCUUAACACAUGCAAGUCGAACGGAAAGGCCCAAGCUUGCUUGGGUACUCGAGCGGCGAACGGGUGAGUAACACGUGGGUGAUCUGCCCUGCACUUCGGGAUAAGCCUGGGAAACUGGGUCUAAUACCGGAUAGGACCACAUUUUGGAUGGUGUGGUGGAAAGUUUUUCGGUGUGGGAUGAGCUCGCGGCCUAUCAGCUUGUUGGUGGGGUAAUGGCCUACCAAGGCGUCGACGGGUAGCCGGCCUGAGAGGGUGUACGGCCACAUUGGGACUGAGAUACGGCCCAGACUCCUACGGGAGGCAGCAGUGGGGAAUAUUGCACAAUGGGCGCAAGCCUGAUGCAGCGACGCCGCGUGGGGGAUGACGGCCUUCGGGUUGUAAACUCCUUUCGCUAGGGACGAAGCGUUUUUGUGACGGUACCUGGAGAAGAAGCACCGGCUAACUACGUG
rnacentral:rRNA from 1 species